CGCAGCCGCGGUAAUUCCAGCUCCAAUAGCGUAUAUUAAAGUUGUUGCAGUUAAAAAGCUCGUAGUUGAAUUUCGGGAUCAGUUGAUCGGUCGUGCCUCGGUACGUACUGGUCAAAUUGAUUCCUACCUUCUGACGAACCACGAUGUCAUUAAUUUGGUGUCGCGGGAAAUCAGGACUGUUACUUUGAAAAAAUUAGAGUGUUUAAAGCAGGCUCGCGCUUGAAUACAUUAGCAUGGAAUAAUGAAAUAGGACGUUUGAUUCUAUUUUGUUGGUUUCUAGGAUCGACGUAAUGAUUAAUAGGGAUAGUUGGGGGCAUUAGUAUUCAAUUGUCAGAGGUGAAAUUCUUGGAUUUAUUGAAGACUAACUACUGCGAAAGCAUUUGCCAAGGAUGUUUUCAUUAAUCAAGAACGAAAGUUAGGGGAUCGAAGACGAUCAGAUACCGUCGUAGUCUUAACCAUAAACUAUAGCCGACUAGGGAUCGGAUGAUGUUAAUUUUUAAUGACUCAUUCGGCGCCUUAC
rnacentral:misc_RNA from 1 species